UGGAGCCGCAGGUAGCCGCAUUUUACUCAGAAAUGCCUCCGGCAUUGCGAGGAUGCCCCAAGACCAAACAGUCUAUAAAGAUGAAGAGCUCCAUGAACUUGGAUCAUUUUGAUGGACCAAGCGUCGGGAGAUUCUCGUAGGCGUCGGGACAUUGUUGUUGAUCUCUCCCGACGUUGCCCGCGGCGAGAAAACCCCUGC